rnacentral:tRNA from 1 species
GCCUUCGUGAUGUAGUGGUCAGCACGCUGGACGCGUAACCGAGAGGUCCGUGGUUCGAUUCCCGGCAAAGGCG